rnacentral:rRNA from 1 species
AUUGAACGCUGGCGGCAGGCCUAACACAUGCAAGUCGAACGGUAACAGGGAUCAGCUUGCUGAUUCGCUGACGAGUGGCGGACGGGUGAGUAAUGUCUGGGAAACUGCCUGAUGGAGGGGGAUAACUACUGGAAACGGUAGCUAAUACCGCAUAACGUCGCAAGACCAAAGAGGGGGACCUUCGGGCCUCUUGCCAUCGGAUGUGCCCAGAUGGGAUUAGCUAGUAGGUGGGGUAACGGCUCACCUAGGCGACGAUCCCUAGCUGGUCUGAGAGGAUGACCAGCCACACUGGAACUGAGACACGGUCCAGACUCCUACGGGAGGCAGCAGUGGGGAAUAUUGCACAAUGGGCGCAAGCCUGAUGCAGCCAUGCCGCGUGUAUGAAGAAGGCCUUCGGGUUGUAAAGUACUUUCAGCAGGGAGGAAGGGAGUAAAGUUAAUACCUUUGCUCAUUGACGUUACCCGCAGAAGAAGCACCGGCUAACUCCGUG